AUUGAACGCUGGCGGCAGGCCUAACACAUGCAAGUCGAGCGGUAGAGAGGUGCUCGCACCUCUUGAGAGCGGCGGACGGGUGAGUAAUGCCUAGGAAUCUGCCUGGUAGUGGGGGAUAACGCUCGGAAACGGACGCUAAUACCGCAUACGUCCUACGGGAGAAAGCAGGGGACCUUCGGGCCUUGCGCUAUCAGAUGAGC
rnacentral:rRNA from 1 species